UACGUAGGGUGCAAGCGUUGUCCGGAAUUAUUGGGCGUAAAGAGCUCGUAGGCGGUCUGUCGCGUCGGCUGUGAAAAACUCGGGGCUCAACUCCGAGCCUGCAGUCGAUACGGGCAGACUAGAGUGCUGUAGGGGAGACUGGAAUUCCUGGUGUAGCGGUGAAAUGCGCAGAUAUCAGGAGGAACACCGGUGGCGAAGGCGGUUCUCU
rnacentral:rRNA from 1 species